rnacentral:tRNA from 1 species
CGGGGUAGAGCUUGAGGUAGUUAAGCACUUCAUUUACACUGGAGAUUUAUUUGUGCAAAUCAGAUUGUCCCGA